rnacentral:lncRNA from 1 species
UUCCGUUCGGCUCUCUUUUUCCCAUUUUCCAAUUUUUGCCCUCCUUCAUCUUCUCCUUCAUCUGCUGUCAAACUCUCUACACAAUUUCUGCCCUCAAACUCUCUUGCCAUAUUUCAGAUAUUCUCUUUCAUCUUCUCCCACAGUUCUGUAACUUUCUCUCUUUCUGUUCCCAUAUUUCAGGUAAUGGCGUUUUUUCCUUAUUUGAUUUUUCCUUCUUUUUAACGUUUUUCCUCAGUACUUUUUGAUCAUGUUCUUCUUCUUUUUUUAAUUGAUUGUUUGCUUAAUGAGCAUUUCUAUUCCCUCUCCUCUCCG